rnacentral:rRNA from 1 species
AGUGAACGCUGGCGGUAGGCCUAACACAUGCAAGUCGAACGGCAGCACAGGAGAGCUUGCUCUCUGGGUGGCGAGUGGCGGACGGGUGAGGAAUACAUCGGAAUCUACCUUGUCGUGGGGGAUAACGUAGGGAAACUUACGCUAAUACCGCAUACGACCUUCGGGUGAAAGUGGGGGACCGCAAGGCCUCACGCGAUUAGAUGAGCCGAUGUCGGAUUAGCUAGUUGGCGGGGUAAAAGCCCACCAAGGCGACGAUCCGUAGCUGGUCUGAGAGGAUGAUCAGCCACACUGGAACUGAGACACGGUCCAGACUCCUACGGGAGGCAGCAGUGGGGAAUAUUGGACAAUGGGCGCAAGCCUGAUCCAGCCAUACCGCGUGGGUGAAGAAGGCCUUCGGGUUGUAAAGCCCUUUUGUUGGGAAAGAAAUCCUGUCGAUUAAUACUUGGCGGGGAUGACGGUACCCAAAGAAUAAGCACCGGCUAACUUCGUGCCAGCCGCCGCGGUAACAC